AUAUUGAGAAUUUUCUUGAUAGUGAAAGAAUGGAAAAGGAAACAGACUGUGCUAGUGAAACAACUAUAGAAGAAGAUUUGAAACCUUCUUUGGGGAUGAAGUUUAGCACCAAAGAAGAAGGGCAGAAUUUCUUCAACUUCUACAGCAGUGUUGUUGGUUUCUCAGUGGCUAUUGUCAAUUCCUACAGAACAACAAGCAAGAAAAGGAACAAUGAAGUCACAAAAGUUGUUAUGAAAUGCAACAAGCAUGGCAAGACAGGAGAAGUUGAGAGAGAACAGUUGGUGCCUCAAAGGAAAAGCACACUUAUAACAAAAUCAGGUUACAAAGUUGAAAUGAGGAUUACAGAGAAGAAUAAUGUUUGGGAAAUCACCAGGUUAAUUCUUGAGCACAAUCAUGACCUGUCUCCGAAAAGCCGGUUCUUCAGAUCUCACAAAUACAUGUCACCGGAAGAAAAAGAUCUCAUAAGGACCUUGAAGUACACAAACACGCCGACAGGGAAGAUUGUUGAUAUCUUGGCAUACAUCAGAGGUGGAAUUCAAUGCCUUCCAUACACAAAGAAGAUGGUAAGCAACUAUGGUACUGAAAUAAACAAGGAGUUACAGAACACAGACAUGAUGGAGGUUGUGAAAAUGUUCAACAAGAAACAAGCAGAGAGCCCUGGUUUUUAUUAUUCAUUUGAGUUGGACAGUGAAAACAAAGUCAGAAGCAUUUUUUGGACAGAUCAGAAAUCAAGGUUGUACUAUGAGCAAUGUGGUGACUGCCUUAGUUUCGACACAACCUUUCUUACAAAUAAAUACAAUUUGCCAUUUGCGCCAUUUGUAGGUGUUUCGCCUCAUGGGAACACCUAUCUGUUUGCAUGUGCCUUCAUUGUGAACGAAACUGCAGAGACCUUUGAGUGGUUGUUCACCCAAUUCCUAACAGCUAUGGAUGGUGUUCCACCUGUGUCAAUCAUCACAGAUGGAGAUAGAGCAAUGAAAGCAGCAAUUGAUGCCGUUUUUCCAAAUGCUUUCCAUAGAUGGUGUCUUUUUCACAUCAAAAAGAAGGCAGAUGAGAAAAUAACUACAAGCUUUCAAGCAAACCAAGGUUUGUAUGAGGAUUUCCAGGAUAUUAUCGACAACUCUCUAACAGUUGAAGAAUUUGAGACACUUUGGCCAGAGAUGAUUGAGAAGCAUGGAGUGGAACAUGUUGAAUAUUUUGGAACAUUAUGGGAAAAAAGACAGUACUGGGCACCAGUUUACUUCAAAUCGAAGUUUUUUCCAUUUAUUCAAACUACUGCAAGAAGUGAGGGUACAAAUGCUAUCUUCAAAAGAGGAGUUGGGGCAAAGUUUAGUGUCAUAAGUUUCAUAAGGGAGUACCAAAGAAUUUUGGACACCAUACAUGACAGGGAGGACGAAUGUGAUCACAGAUCAAGGAAUAAGAAAGUGGCACAAGACAAAUAUUGGUCUAAGAUGUACAUUGAAAGGCAAGCACUUCACUUUUACAACAUUGGUAUUUUCUGGAAAUUCCAGUGGAUACUACAAGAUAUCACACGGUUGCAGGUCCGUGAGGAAGAAAAGGAAAAGUUGUAUCAUGUGUUUUAGGCAGCAAACUAUCCUAUCAAGGAGCACAGACCAAGGACAUAUUUGGUGGUCGUUGACAUGUUGGCACAAGAUUACUCGUGUAUUUGUUGCAAAUUUUAGAAAGAUGGCAUUCUUUGUGCACACAUUCUCAAAGUUAUUGUUCAUCUAAACAUACCUGAAGUUCCUGAGAAAUACUUCAUUGAUCGUUGGAGGAAGAAAGUUGAGAAGGUGCACUUGGUAAAAGAACCAGAAAUGAUUGGACAUAACCCCGCCCUCAUGUUCAACAUUCUCUCCAAAAAGCUUGUAAGAACAGCUUCCACUGCUUCCAAAAAUAAAAGGAAGUACCAGUACCUCCUGCAACAAAUAGACAAGAUAGAAAGGGAAAUGAAUGACAUGGACAAUGAGGAUUUGGAAACAGCAGAGCAAGUUAAUAUGUCGAAAAGAACAGUGACCAAUGUGAGUUCAGGAAAUGAUGGUGAUGCAAGCUCUACAAACAUUGAACUACAAGACCCCGAUGUUGCUAGCACAAAAGGAAGACCUCGGAUGCUUACAAUAAGGGAGGCAAUCAAGCAAAAGAAGUUUUACACUUGCAGCCACUGUGGUUCUAAUGAGCACACAAUUAAGAAGUGCACAAACAGAGACAAACACUAUGAUUUACCUAGCCGUAAAAGAUCAAAGUCAAAUCCAUGGAAUCAGAAAAAGAGUGAAGGAAGCAGCAAAAAGAAGAACAGUAAGCCUAGAAAAGCUAGUAGCAAGUCGAAUAUGAAGAACAAACAAGAUGCAAGCCAAAGCAAAGGAGGGACAGGAAAUGAUGUGGCUUUGAAUGGAUAAAGCAGACAAUGGAGUUUUGAUAUUAUGUAGUGACAAUGUUACUUGAAAUGUUACUAUGAGUGUAGUAUGUCUCGAACAAGUGGAUGUAUGGAAAUGAACAUGAGUGUACUGCAGUUUUGAUUUAUGUAC